AACUUUUAACAAGGAAUCUUUUGGUUCUCGUAACGAUGAAAACACAGAAAAUGUGAUAAGUAGUGUGAAUUGCAGAAUACGUGAAUCUUCGAAUCUUCGAACGUAUAUUGCAUAAUUUUUUUAGCUUACUAAAAAAAAAAAAAAGUAUGUCUGUUUGAGUAUCU
rnacentral:rRNA from 1 species